GAAAUGCGAUAAGUAAUGUGAAUUGCAGAAUUCAGUGAAUCAUCGAGUCUUUGAACGCACAUUGCGCCCCCUGGUAUUCCGGGGGGCAUGCCUGUCCGAGCGUCAUUUCAACCAUCAAGCCCCCGGGCUUGCGUUGGGGCCCUGCGGCAGCCGCAGGCCCCUAAAAGCAGUGGCGGGCUCGCUGUCACACCGAGCGCAGUAGCGAUAUUCGCUCCGGGCGUCGGCGGCGGGCACCGGCCGUGAAACCCCCCCCCCAUUUCUCAAGGUUGACCUCGGAUCAGGUAGGAAUACCCGCUGAACUUAA
rnacentral:misc_RNA from 1 species